UACGAAGGGGGCUAGCGUUGCUCGGAAUCACUGGGCGUAAAGCGCACGUAGGCGGAUUGCUAAGUCAGGGGUGAAAUCCUGGAGCUCAACUCCAGAACUGCCUUUGAUACUGGCGAUCUCGAGUCCGGGAGAGGUGAGUGGAACUGCGAGUGUAGAGGUGAAAUUCGUAGAUAUUCGCAAGAACACCAGUGGCGAAGGCGGCUCACUGGCCCGAUACUGACGCUGAGGCACGAAAGCGAUGGGGAGC
rnacentral:rRNA from 1 species